rnacentral:misc_RNA from 1 species
GAUGAAGAACGCAGCGAAAUGCGAUAAGUAAUGUGAAUUGCAGAAUUCCGUGAAUCAUCGAAUCUUUGAACGCACAUUGCGCCCCCUGGUAUUCCGGGGGGCAUGCCUGUCCGAGCGUCAUUGCAACCCUCAAGCGCGGCUUGUGUGUUGGGCUUCGUCCCCCCGUGGACGUGCCCGAAAGGCAGUGGCGGCGUCCCGAAUGGUGCCCGAGCGUAUGGGAACUCUCUUCCGCUCGAACCGGCCCAUUCGGCGCUGGUCGAACCCCAAUUUUUUUUUACCGGUUGACCUCGGAUCAGGUAGGGAUACCCGCUGAACUUAAGCAUAUAAUAAGCGGAGGA